GAGCGAUUCACUCGUAAUGAAUAGGUCAGGAGUUCGAUUCUCCUAGGCGGCU
rnacentral:tRNA from 1 species